rnacentral:tRNA from 1 species
AAGGGCUUAGCUUAAUUAAAGUAGUUGAUUUGCAUUCAGCUGAUGUGAGGUGUGUUCUCGCAGUCCUUAGGUUGGUUUA